GUAGAAGGUCUCUUCCUCCAGGCCCUAUACCCAGAAGAUCACAGCAGGACUUGAGCCCUGGCCACCGCCGAGGCUGAGUUGUCCACCACCCUGCACUGCUGGGUCUGGGUCAGCCUGGAGGCCACUCUUCAGCCCAGGACACCUGGCCCUCAUAGGGGCUGCUGAUCAGCCAUCUGCAAACCCCUAUCCUGGGAGAUGAUCCUGGAGAUGGGUCCAACAAUCUGUUCUGCCGUUCAGUACAAGCCUAGUUUAGGAGGAGAAAGUGCCCCCAGCUGAGUCGAGUUCAACUAUUCAAUAUGAGAGCUCUCUGUGAAACCUAAGCGACCAUGUGAAGCGGCUGCCAUUAAUUCCCCUGUGAUAGAGCUAAGGACUUCUAAUUGAAUGUCUUCAGAGAUGGAGCCUGCCUCAUUCCUUCUAGCCUGCCUGACCUGACUGCUAUUCUGAAAACGCCUUCUCUACUUAAGAAUAGAUGUGGCUGUCCUGCCAGCCCCAGAGAACACUCCUUUCUCCCUAACACUGUGCCCCUAACACCUUCUGAGAUGCCUGUUGGUUUCCCACUUUAAUCUCAGCCUUCCAUCCUGGCAUCUGCUUGUGUCCUGGGGCUCUGGGUUGGGCCUAUUAAAGAGACCACACAGGGGAUGGAGCGGGGAGCACCCAUCACCCCCAUCCUCCCCCUCAACCACCACUCGCCUUCUUUCUAG
ensembl:lncRNA